GACGAACGCUGGCGGCGUGCUUAACACAUGCAAGUCGAACGGAAAGGCCCUGCUUUUGUGGGGUGCUCGAGUGGCGAACGGGUGAGUAACACGUGAGUAACCUGCCCUUGACUGUGGGAUAACUCCAGGAAACUGGGGCUAAUACCGGCUAGGAGCUCCUGCUGCCUGGUGGGGGUUGGAACGCUUCGGCGGUUGGGGAUGGACUCGCGGCUUAUCAGCUUGUUGGUGGGGUAGUGGCUUACCAAGGCUUUGACGGGUAGCCGGCCUGAGAGGCUGACCGGCCACAUUGGGACUGAGAGACGGCCCAGACUCCUACGGGAGGCAACAGUGGGGAAUAUUGCACAAUGGGCGGAAGCCUGAUGCAGCAACGCCGCGUGCGGGAUGACGGCCUUCGGGUUGUAAACCGCUUUCGCCUGAGACGAAGCGUGCGUGACGGUAAUGGGUAAAGAAGCACCGGCUAACUACGUG
rnacentral:rRNA from 1 species